rnacentral:rRNA from 1 species
GACAGAGGGUGCAAACGUUGUUCGGAAUUACUGGGCGUAAAGCGCGUGUAGGCGGCUCUGCAAGUCGGAUGUGAAAUCCCAUGGCUCAACUAUGGAAGUGCAUUCGAAACUGCAGGGCUAGAGUUCUGGAGAGGAAGGUGGAAUGCUUGGUGUAGAGGUGAAAUUCGUAGAUAUCAAGCGGAACACCGGUGGCGAAGGCGGCCUUCUGGACAGUAACUGACGCUGAGGUGCGAAAGCGUGGGGAGCAAACAGG